rnacentral:lncRNA from 1 species
UCGGACAUUUUCUCCUAUUAACAAGGAGAUUUACUUACUUUUCAUUUAUAAAUUCCUAGCUUGAGAAUAUUAAGCUAGAAAUAUGUAUUAUAGGAUAUAAUAUUGAAUGAAUAUUUUAGACUUCUAGAUGGGUGAUGAGAUUCAGAAUUGUAAAUCAUGAUGGUUUUUAAUAUACCUGGGCUGUUUUGAUACAAUUUCUAAGAAAAUGUAUGUACUUUGGUUACAUUUGUGUGUGUAUGCAUGUGUGCGUCUGUUUGUGUGUUUAUGAGUUGUUAAAGGUAAGACUUGAUUUCAGAGAUUAAGCAUAAUGGGAAAAAAAAUGAGCUCUACACUUUGAAUUUAAGAUCCAGGAUAUGUAGGAAUGGAUAGAAAGAUGAUUGUCAGGAAAUUUGUUUUCUC